ensembl:misc_RNA 7SK 7SK RNA
GGAAGUGGAGGCAAUCUGGCUGAAACAGCUGUCACCCCGCUGAUCACCUGAGUUGAUCUGGCUGGCUAAGCAGGUGUCCCUUCCUCCCUCAAUGCUCCAGGGGCAUCCCUCUCGCAGCUGUGCACCUGUGCCCUCAGUCGAAGAGGACAACCUCUCCCAAUACAGAAGUCCAGACUCAAGUCAAAAAUAAAAUAACUGAACACACACCUACACAUACAUAAACACAAAUGUUGUGCAUAUUUAUAUGU